rnacentral:rRNA from 1 species
UCAGGCCUAACACAUGCAAGUCGAACGGCGGCACGGGUGCUUGCACCUGGUGGCGAGUGGCGAACGGGUGAGUAAUAUAUCGGAACGUGCCCUAGAGUGGGGGAUAACGUAGCGAAAGUUACGCUAAUACCGCAUACGAUCUACGGACGAAAGUGGGGGACCGCAAGGCCUCACGCUCCUGGAGCGGCCGAUAUCUGAUUAGCUAGUUGGUGGGGUAAAAGCCUACCAAGGCGACGAUCAGUAGCUGGUCUGAGAGGACGACCAGCCACACUGGGACUGAGACACGGCCCAGACUCCUACGGGAGGCAGCAGUGGGGAAUUUUGGACGAUGGGGGCAACCCUGAUCCAGCAAUGCCGCGUGUGUGAAGAAGGCCUUCGGGUUGUAAAGCAAAUGGUCAGGAACGAAACGGUGGGGGCUAAUAU